rfam:Triticum aestivum genome assembly, contig: Triticum_aestivum_CS42_TGACv1_scaffold_457664_5DS
CAUAUACUCCCUCCGUUCCAAAAUAGAUGACCCAACUUUGUACUAACUUUAGUACAAAGUUAGCACAAAUUUGGGUCAUCUAUUUUGGAACGGAGGGAGUAUGUG